GAGGGCACUGAAUUCCCUUGUCAUAAGAUGGUUCUUGCAACAUGUAGCUCUUAUUUCAGGGCCAUGUUUAUGAGUGGACUAAGUGAAAGCAAACAAACCCAUGUACACCUGAGGAAUGUCGAUGCUGCCACCUUACAGAUAAUAAUAACUUACGCAUACACGGGUAACUUGGCAAUGAAUGACAGCACUGUAGAACAGCUUUAUGAAACAGCUUGUUUCCUACAGGUAAGCAUAUAUAUAUUUUUUUAGACGGAGUCUCUCUCUGUUGCCCAGGCUGGAGUGCAGUGGCGUGAUCUUGGCUCACUGCAACCUCCGCCUCCCAGGUUCAAGUGAUUCUCCUGCCUCAGCCUCCUGAGUAGCUGGGAUUACAGGCGCUAAUUUUUGUAUUUUUAGUACGGGGUUUCACCAUGUUGGUCAGGCUGGUCUUGAUCUCCUGACCUCGUGAUCCACCUGCCUUGGCCUCCCAAAGUGCUGGGAUUACAGGCGUGAGCCACCGUGCCCAGCCUACAGGUAAGCAUUUUUUUCCUCAGUUACAUACAUGAGUUGUGGCUUUAUUGGUUUAUUAUGUGGUUUAUUUUGUGAGGAAACAUUGUUAAACCUUUUUUAUUGAUGUUUUUGAGACGGGGUCUUGUUCAGUCACCCAGGCAGGAGGGCAUUGGUGCAGUCAUGGUUCACUGAAGCCUUGAACUCAUGGGC
rnacentral:sRNA from 1 species